GUCAGGAUGGCCGAGCGGUCCAAGGCGCUGCGUUCAGGUCGCAGUCCGGUCUUCCGGGCGUGGGUUCGAAUCCCAUUUCUGACA
rnacentral:tRNA from 1 species